GUCUUGAGCUAUCCUCUUGCCUCAGAAUCCCAAAGUGCCAGAGUUAUAUGGGUCAUGUGAAAUAAAGAUCUAACUCGAUUUUUUUCUCCCAAGAAUUAAGCAACUGGCCAGGUUAGAAAUUCCUUGAGCACAGAGGCUGCAUCGGCUUUGUCAUGCUCACCGCCUAGCUCAUCCCCUCCUGUGUGAAAGACACUCAUGCAGACAAUGGUGUUGGUCCUGCAGUACCUUUCAGGACAAUCCCAGACAAGAAAAUACUACAGGUGCAUUUAUUCUGUGUUGUUGGAUGGUCCUUAAGGAUGGACAAAGGAAGCAAGACAGCUUUCACCAUAGCUAUUAUAUGAUGGCAAAAUUAACUGGAGCCAGGCAAACAGAUGAGUUAGCUGCCUUAUUAAUUCAAGAGUGGUUAUGCGAUUUGUGGAUUGUCCGGGCCUCUGACUUUCCUCAGCUUUGGGAGGGGAAGUGAGAAGAGAGGAAUGUGGACUUUGCAAUCUGGGUGUCAGUGCCAGUUUCUUGUAUCAGUCUGGUCAAGCACAGGGUUGGCCAUCUGCAUGAAUUGCUUGAAGCUUCCAGAAGCCUCUUCUCUCAGUGUGUUGUUUUUACGAAUG